rnacentral:rRNA from 1 species
UACGAAGGGGGGCUAGCGUUGUUCGGAAUUACUGGGCGUAAAGGGCGCGUAGGCGGUGUGUCAAGUCAGGCGUGAAAGCCCCGGGCUCAACCUGGGAACAGCGCUUGAGACUGGCACGCUCGAGUUCGGGAGAGGAUGGUGGAAUUCCCAGUGUAGAGGUGAAAUUCGUAGAUAUUUGGGAAGAACACCGAUGGCGAAGGCAGCCAUCUGGACCGACAC